UCCACACAUCUUAUAGCAAUCGAAGCAGCUUUUCUCAUGCUCGCUGGAUCGAAUGUAUCUUUCAAGAUAUCAUCCACAAUCUCAAAUGCUCCUGCUUGUUCUCUUCCACAGAUGAGCUCCAAUAGGACCACACCGAAGCUAUAGACAUCGCUUUUCUCUGUCAGUUGCAGGGUGGAGUAAUAUCUGGAAUGACAAAGUGUGUUUAAUGAUUAGCUAAUGAAGCUGUUAAUCCAUCACGAAUUCACGAAUGCGGAGAGAAAUUGUAGAAGAGUUUACUCGGGGUCAAGGUAGUCCAAUCCUUCAUGAAUAAGCCAAAACUGUCACUCUCUGCCAGAAUCAACUGUGUUUUAGUCUAAUGAUGCCAAUCACAGAUGUUCAA